UUAUCUUCCUCUUUGU
rnacentral:sRNA from 1 species